rnacentral:rRNA from 1 species
CAGGCGCGAAACCUCUGCAAUAGGCGAAAGCUUGACAGGGUUACUCUGAGUGAUGUCCGCUAAGGGCAUCUUUUGGCGCUUCUAAAAAUAGUGUAGAAUAAGGGGUGGGCAAGUCUGGUGUCAGCCGCCGCGGUAAUACCAGCACCCCGAGUGGUCGGGACGAUUAUUGGGCCUAAAGCAUCCGUAGCCGGUUCUGCAAGUCUUCCGUUAAAUCCACCUGCUCAACAGAUGGGCUGCGGAGGAUACUACAGGGCUAGGAGGCGGGAGAGGCAAGCGGUACUCAGUGGGUAGGGGUAAAAUCCUCUGAUCCACUGAAGACCACCAGUGGCGAAGGCGGCUUGCCAGAACGCGCUCGACGGUGAGGGAUGAAAGCUGGGGGAGCAAACCGGAUUAGAUACCCGGGUAGUCCCAGCUGUAAACGAUGCAGACUCGGUUGAUGGGUUGGCUUCNAGCCAACCCAGUGCCGCAGGGAAGCCGUUAAGUCUGCCGCCUGGGGAGUACGGUCGCGAGACUGAAACUUAAAGGAAUUGGCGGGGGAGCAC